rnacentral:rRNA from 1 species
GAUGAACGCUGGCGGCGUGCCUAAUACAUGCAAGUCGAGCGAACAGACGAGGAGCUUGCUCCUCUGACGUUAGCGGCGGACGGGUGAGUAACACGUGGAUAACCUACCUAUAAGACUGGGAUAACUUCGGGAAACCGGAGCUAAUACCGGAUAAUAUAUUGAACCGCAUGGUUCAAUAGUGAAAGACGGUUUUGCUGUCACUUAUAGAUGGAUCCGCGCCGCAUUAGCUAGUUGGUAAGGUAACGGCUUACCAAGGCAACGAUGCGUAGCCGACCUGAGAGGGUGAUCGGCCACACUGGAACUGAGACACGGUCCAGACUCCUAAGGGAGGCAGCAGUAGGGAAUCUUCCGCAAUGGGCGAAAGCCUGACGGAGCAACGCCGCGUGAGUGAUGAAGGUCUUCGGAUCGUAAAACUCUGUUAUUAGGGAAGAACAAAUGUGUAAGUAACUAUGCACGUCUUGACGGUACCUAGUCAGAAAGCCACGGCUAACUACGUG